UACGUAGGGGGGCAAGCGUUGUCCGGAUUCAUUGGGCGUAAAGAGCGUGUAGGCGGCCAGGUAGGUCGGUUGUGAAAACUGGAGGCUCAACCUUCAGAGGUCGACCGAAAACCAUCUGGCUAGAGUCCGGGAGAGGAGAGUGGAAUUCCUGGUGUAGCGGUGAAAUGCGCAGAUAUCAGGAAGAACACCCGUGGCGAAAGCGGCUCUCUGGAACGGUACUGACGCUGAGACGCGAAAGCGUGGGGAGCGAACAGG
rnacentral:rRNA from 1 species